CAGUAGCCGCGGGAAUACAGAGGGUGCGAGCGUUAAUCGGAUUUACUGGGCGUAAAGCGUGCGUAGGCGGCUUCUUAAGUCGGAUGUGAAAUCCCUGAGCUUAACUUAGGAAUUGCAUUCGAUACUGGGAAGCUAGAGUAUGGGAGAGGAUGGUAGAAUUCCAGGUGUAGCGGUGAAAUGCGUAGAGAUCUGGAGGAAUACCGAUGGCGAAGGCAGCCAUCUGGCCUAAUACUGACGCUGAGGUACGAAAUCAUGGGGAGCAAACAGGAUUAGAUACCCCAGUAGUCCCUGUCUCUUAUAC
rnacentral:rRNA from 1 species